AUGUGUCAAAAAUUGAAAUGCCCGGUUCGCGGUUUAAUUUCAUUUUAAAUAAAGACGCCAGGCCAGAGCAUUAAGGGUUGCAGUGUUAUCGGGCAUUUGUGAACGCCACUGCAAAUACUGCAAUACAUUUCAGUUUCAAAAAUUGUAAAUUGUCAGAAAAACGUUUAAGGGCUUUGUCAUGAAUUACACCUUGGAAAGUCGAUUGGAGUUGAACAGAAUAAAUCAUCUGGUCUGUUUUGCAAAGAAGCAAUAAUUUUUCAAAUAAUGAAAUCCAAAAAGUACCCUGAAGGUAAAAAUUGUGAAAAAUCAAGUAAUGGACAAUGGCAGAGCAAGUCUUAUCACAGUUAACGAACACUAUGAGUACCUAAUGAGUUUUUGCAGUAAAUAAUUUUGCCAAAGUUGUGAUCCCGCGAAAGUUCUGUUUGUAAAUUGUAAGGAAUCGUCAAAAUAUUGGUGCAGACAUGGUUUGUGACCGGUGCUUUUCUCUUGAAAAAACACAACUGAAAUCCUUGAUCUUCAUCCCUACAAUAGGUGAAAACUGCUAUGUCCAAACAUUACCUUCAGCUUUGCAGUUUCUAGAUAUCUGAAACAUGCCAGAUCUGCAUAACAGGAAUGUCAAAGAGGUUCUACCCAAAACACGCCCACAUGGCCAUCCUAAUAUCAAGAUUUUUCAAAAUUUCUAUAAGAAAAAAGAUGAAAAAACCAAUAAAAUUUCAGGAGCAUAGUGUUAAGAGUUCUGUAGCUGAUUAUGAGAUCUCUUGAAACAACAGAAUGUUUAAUAAAGAUUUUUAACUUUCCUAAUAGUAAAAUUACAAUUAUUACUAAACAUACCUACACACACUUUCUACAUCUAAUUUUGUUUAUUGAUCACAUUCAUUUACUUGAAAAAGUAUCAGGCCUAUGAAUCGUCGUCUGCUAACCACACACCAACCUUCAUUGCGUGUGAUGGUGUUUCUUCAAAAGCCCUAACAGAUGAAACCAGGCUUCAUCAGAAAAGAACGACAAAUCGAGAAUCCCGUUAUCGUCCAUAUCAGCUUGAAACCAACUACACUACCCAACGCGGCAAGGAAAAUCAGCUGGUUGCA